rnacentral:snRNA from 1 species
GUGCUUGCUUCGGCAGCACAUAUAGUAAAAUUGGAACGAUGCAGAGAAGAUUAGCAUAGGCCUGGUGCAAGGAUGACAUGCAAAUUCGUGAAGCAUUCCGUAUUUUU